CCUACGGGAGGCAGCAGUGGGGAAUUUUGGACAAUGGGGGAAACCCUGAUCCAGCAAUGCCGCGUGUGUGAAGAAGGCCUUCGGGUUGUAAAGCACUUUUGUCCGGAAAGAAAACUUCUGCCCUAAUACGGUGGGAGGAUGACGGUACCGGAAGAAUAAGCACCGGCUAACUACGUGCCAGCAGCCGCGGUAAUACGUAGGGUGCGGGCGUUAAUCGGAAUUACUGGGCGUAAAGCGUGCGCAGGCGGUUCGUUAAGACAGAUGUGAAAUCCCCGGGCUUAACCUGGGAACUGCAUUUGUGACUGGCGAGCUAGAGUAUGGCAGAGGGGGGUAGAAUUCCACGUGUAGCAGUGAAAUGCGUAGAGAUGUGGAGGAAUACCGAUGGCGAAGGCAGCCCCCUGGGCCAAUACUGACGCUCAUGCACGAAAGCGUGGGGAGCAAACAGGAUUAGAUACCCUGGUAGUCCACGCCCUAAACGAUGUCAACUAGUUGUUGGGUCUUCAUUGACUUAGUAACGUAGCUAACGCGUGAAGUUGACCGCCUGGGGAGUACGGUCGCAAGAUUAAAACUCAAAUGAAUUGACGG
rnacentral:rRNA from 1 species